rnacentral:misc_RNA from 1 species
CCGAGUUAGGGUCCUCUGGGCCCGACCUCCCAACCCUUUGUCGUUACCACCUCAGUUGCUUCGGCGGGCCCUGCCUCGAGAGAGGCACGCCGGAGGGGCGUGAAACCCCUUCUGGUCAGUUGCUCGUCGGUAGCCCCAACCACAAAAUUCUGAAGUAAACGUGUCUUCUGAGUAACAAACAAAAAUAAAGCAA